UUUUUUGAGAUGCAGUCUCACUCUGUUGCCCAGGCUGGAGUGCAGUGGUGAGACCCCGGCUCACUGCAACCUCUGCCUCCCAGGUUCAAGCAAUUCUCCUGCUUCACCUUCCCCAGUAGCUGGGAUUACAGGUGCACACCACCAAGCCUGACUAAUUUUUGUAUUUUAGUAGAGACAGGGUUUCACCGUGUUGCCCAGGCUAGUUUCGAACUCCUGAGCUCAGGCAAUCCGCCCGCCUCAGCCUCCCAAAGUGCUGGGAUUACAGGUGUGUGCCACCGUGCCUGGCCCAAUUCUGCAUUUUUAACAACUCCCAAGUAAUUUAGCUGGCCUAUGGACCACACUUUGAGUUUAGCAAGGCAAGCUUUUUUAUAUACACGCUAGGACAAGCUCCUCCUUGAGAAAAUUGAAAAUUGGAGGGGAGUACAUAUCAGCUUUUUUAUUUGUAAAACAUGAUGAUGGAGCAGAAACAAGUAAUUUGUUGCCUUCAAAAACCAGAUUGGGAGAGGAAAUGUCCCAUACCUGCAGGAUCAUGGAUUUUAAAAUUGAGGGGGCUGAUUCUAAGAGCAAAAUAAAG
rnacentral:lncRNA from 10 species